AGUGAACGCUGGCGGUAGGCCUAACACAUGCCAGUCGAACGGCAGCACAGUAAGAGCUUGCUCUUACGGGUGGCGAGUGGCGGACGGGUGAGGAAUACAUCGGAAUCUACUUUUUCGUGGGGGAUAACGUAGGGAAACUUACGCUAAUACCGCAUACGACCUACGGGUGAAAGCAGGGGAUCUUCGGACCUUGCGCGAUUGAAUGAGCCGAUGUCGGAUUAGCUAGUUGGCGGGGUAAAGGCCCACCAAGGCGACGAUCCGUAGCUGGUCUGAGAGGAUGAUCAGCCACACUGGAACUGAGACACGGUCCAGACUCCUACGGGAGGCAGCAGUGGGGAAUAUUGCACAAUGGGCGCAAGCCUGAUCCAGCCAUACCGCGUGAGUGAAGAAGGCCUUCGGGUUGUAAAGCCCUUUUGUUGGGAAAGAAAAGCUGCAGGUUAAUCCCCCGCUGUUCUGACGGUACCCAAAGAAUAAGCACCGGCUAACUUCGUG
rnacentral:rRNA from 1 species